GCCGGGGUAGCCUAGCCUGGUUUGGGCGCCAGACUCAUAAUCUGGAGAGCAAAAAAUAAUGGGGCCACGCCC
rnacentral:tRNA from 1 species